UACGUAGGUGGCAAGCGUUGUCCGGAUUUACUGGGCGUAAAGAGCGCGCAGGCGGUCGGAUAAGUCGAAUGUGAAAGCCCCGAGCUCAACUUGGGAAUGGCAUUGGAAACUGGCGGGCUGGAGUGUGGCAGAGGGGGGUGGAAUUCCACGUGGUAGCAGUGAAAUGCGUAGAGAUGUGGAGGAACACCGAUGGCGGAAGGCAGCCCCCUGGGCCAACACUGACGCUCAGGCACGAAAGCGUGGGGAGCAAACAGG
rnacentral:rRNA from 1 species